UACGUAGGGGGCAAGCGUUGUCCGGAUUUAUUGGGCGUAAAGAGCGUGUAGGCGGCCAGAUAGGUCUGUUGUGAAAACUCGAGGCUCAACCUCGAGACGCCGAUGGAAACCAUUUGGCUAGAGUCCGGAAGAGGAGAGUGGAAUUCCUGGUGUAGCGGUGAAAUGCGCAGAUAUCGGGAGGAACACCUGUGGCGAAAGCGGCGCACUGGACCACAACUGACGCUGAGGCGCGAAAGCUAGGGGAGCAAACAGG
rnacentral:rRNA from 1 species